UACACCCCACUUCUUGUGGGGAGCCCCUGGACCAGCAGAGAGACCAUCAUUAGGGAGAUGGGAAGGAGGACGGUACAGUGGUGGGGCUGGCCAAGGCUUGCUGUGGACUGCUUUGACAGAAAAGCAAUCACUCACGCUCCACCUAAAGGUCUGUGAUUUAAUCCCAGGGGACCAACAAGGGGAGAUCCAAGAUAAACAACAUCUGUGCAUUCACAAAUAGGAAAUGGAGUUGCUUUCAUGUCCUGAGCCUGUUGAUUAACCAGGGUUGUUGUUUGGCUUGGCACUCGCUGCUCGGUGACUUGGAAAGAAGAACUUCCCUCGCUGUGAGUUGCGCCUGUUGCCUCUUGCUCUGUACCUCCAAGAAGAGUCUGGCUCCACCUUCUCAUCAACGCCCGGAGGUGGUGGAUGACAGUGGUUAGAUCCCCCCUUCGCUGCUUCCUCUCCGGAUGGGACCAACCCACUGCCAGAGUGGAAAGGCCUCUUCUGCUCCAGCCCCUCUCUGUGUGCACCCAGAAACAAAGCCAUGACCGAGCGGAGCAGCAGCGUGUGUUAACAGUGGAGCCAUCAGGAGAAAAGCAAGCAUGACUUUUAUCACAUCUUCCCAUACAGUCUCCAGGCCACCCCACAAACACACCCACCUCGUUCGCAAAGCCACGGGGCGCUGGGUCUGGGCAUGGUCCCCACCACCGCAAAGGUCCCUGAGGGGAAGAGGAGCAAAGCCCAGCGCCCACCCGGCUGAGGAUGCUGCAGCCACCGGGCACUGACCACACAGAUAUCUUCAGCCCAAAAAGGACACAGCUCCUCGGAGGGGAGACGGGGCACCUCGCUGCAAGGCAGAAGGCUGAGCGUGGUGGCCGGGGUGCGAGCAGGAGGGUGGGCAGGGGGCUGGUGCAGCCCAGUCCCCUGCCUGCCCCUGCCCUGCGUGGGAAGCCGCCAGACAGUGGCUCGCCUCUGAGGAACCGGAGAUUUAAUGAGCAGUUUUGGGAACACUCUCAGCUUUCCUACAAAGCUCUUUACUGUCUCUGGCACUAAUUACUAAAUGUUUCCGAAGCCGCUGUCUGGAUGAAACGAGGCCCUUCGUUACAGCGACGUUGUUGUGGGUAGCAGGGCGAUACUCGGCAGGUGUCUGCUCCACCCCGGGGGGGGAGUGUGGAUGUUAUUCCUAUCUUUUUCUCACGGGGAAAGAAAGGAUAAGGCCUCCC